ACCUCUUUUUCCAGAAGUGAGAAUCAAAGAGGAGGUUCACUAAAAGUAGGUCAUCUACAGUGCCUAAUCCCCAACGCUUCUGCAAGGAAUGGAGAUGGCUGCUUUUUGCAAUUGAAGUAUGUCUCCCAGCAACAAGAGGGACAACUCACCUCCCCCAGAAGCCCACACAUUUCAGGUCCUGGCAGAGAAUCAGACAACCAGAUCAGCAGCAGCUUCAAAGCCACCAGCAUCAGACUGCUCAUAUCGUAGCAGGAGCUUCACCGGUUUCUCCAGUGGCACUUAACAGCCAGCGUGGGCUUAAAAAGUUCUCUACAGGCAGAGCAGUAGGUACGUCUCAGGUACAUGAAAUGGUUUAACAUGGAGAAAAACAAGAAAUUGCUUACAGAGAAGGUGUGUGGGUGAAAAAGGAUUCCUGACAAAUAUCCUUGGAGAUGAACACUCCAGAUGACUAAUUUCUCCCUGCUUCAAAACAUAAGUGAGUUAAACCCUUUAAUCAUCAUGAAACUUCUACAAAGAACAGAAGAACUGCUUCUGUAUCUCUCCACCUACCUUACCUGCAAAAUCAGACAGACCAGCGGUCCUCCUAUCAACUGUGUGAUAUUCUUUAUCAGAAAGACACAAAUGGAAUCUUAUUCGUUCACCUAGUAGCAUCUGCUGUAGAAAAAUCACUCAGCCCCAUUUUAAGACAUGCUUCCCAAACAAACUCAUCAGAAUUGCUUUUCAGUUCUCUGAAGCAGAGUAUUAUCUGGAUUUUUGUUCUUGGUACGAGAGAGGAAACAGAAUAUGUCAAAUUGAAAAUAGAAACUAUUAACUAGAAUGAAAAUAUCCUCCCUGGAAUCUAGCCAGAACAACUGGGAAGACAUUCAUUCCAGCUCCACUGAAAAAUGCCGAAUGACCUUUGAAGACAUGAUUUUAAGGCCUCAUUUUUAUAUUCUACCUGAUAAAUAGCACCUGUCCUAGCGUCAUGCCUGACAUCACACUGGGGAACUGCAUCAGUCUGAACUCACAAUACCACAGAUGGAGGCAAAACCAUUGUUCCCUAAUGCUCUUAUUUGUCCUUAAAGAUUUCUGUCUAAGAACUGAUUAGGCCCCAUCCUCUUCCGACUAAGAAACCUGCAAGAAGUCAAACCCAAGCAUGUUCUAGCACAGCCAGUAAGACAAACACCACAGAUAGUUUCAGCGAGACCAGGACAGUAGUUGUUCCUGUAUGUACUAAGCACAUGACCAUGAAACAAACUUUGAAUAAAACUAUCAAGCAAGACUCAGCAAACAAUUUGGGGCUCCAUGAUCAACAGAUUUCUUCUCACAUACUGUUUUCUCUCCAUCAAGUAUCCCACUGAAACCAUGAUGGAAGAGAAAUGCAAAGGCCAGCGGAUUUCAGGCCUUCAGAGCUGAAAGGACUGGUGUAAGG